rnacentral:rRNA from 1 species
AUAGUCCUGUAUGUUAAACGAGAAGACUUUAGAUAUGAUCCAGAGUACCACGGGACACGUGAAACCCUGUGGGAAGCAGGAGGGACCACCCUCCAAGGCUAAAUACUACCUAGUGACCGAUAGCGUAUAGUACCGUGAGGGAAAGGUGAAAAGAACCCCGGGAGGGGAGUGAAAUAGAACCUGAAACCCUGCACUUACAAGCUGUGGAAGCACAUUUCUUGUGUGACCGCGUACUUUUUGUAGAACGGGCCAACGAGUUACGUUAAGUAGCAAGGUUAAGCACUUAAGGUGCGGAGCCGUAGCGAAAGCGAGUUUUAACUGAGCGUUCAGUUACUUGACGUAGACCCGAAACCGGGCGACCUACCCAUGAGCAGGAUGAAGCGAAAGUAAAAUUUCGUGGAGGUCCGAACCCACGAGCGUUGAAAAGCUCGGGGAUGACUUGUGGGUAGCGGUGAAAUUCCAAUCGAGCCCGGAGAUAGCUGGUUCUCCCCGAAAUAGCUUUAGGGCUAGCCUCAAGGUGAGAGAUACGGAGGUAGAGCACUGAAUGUCCUAGGGGGUAUUGCACCUACCGAAGACUAUCAAACUCCGAAUGCCGUCAUCUUAUACUUGGGAGUCAGACUGUGGGUGAUAAGAUUCAUAGUCGAAAGGGCAACAGCCCAGAUCGUCAGCUAAGGUCCCUAAAUGUAAGUUAAGUGGUAAAGGAUGUGGGAUUGCACAGACAACCAGGAUGUUGGCUUAGAAGCAGCCACUCAUUCAAAGAGUGCGUAAUAGCUCACUGGUCGAGUGAUCCUGCGCCGAAGAUUUCCGGGGCUAAAACUUACUACCGAAGCUACGGCAUCAGUAAUGAUGGGUAGGGGAGCUUCCCAUACGGGUUGAAGCAUGACCGUAAGGACAUGUGGACAGUAUGGGAGUGAGAAUGUUGGCAUGAGUAGCGAGAUGUGGGUGAGAAUCCCACAGGCCGUAAACCCAAGGUUUCCAGGGGAAGGUUCGUCCGCCCUGGGUUAGUCGGGACCUAAGCUGAGGCCGAAAGGCGUAGGUGAUGGACAACAGGUUGAUAUUCCUGUAC